AUUGAACACUGGCGGCAGGCCUAACACAUGCAAGUCGAGCGGAUGAAGGGAGCUUGCUCCUGGAUUCAGCGGCGGACGGGUGAGUAAUGCCUAGGAAUCUGCCUGGUAGUGGGGGAUAACGUCCGGAAACGGGCGCUAAUACCGCAUACGUCCUGAGGGAGAAAGUGGGGGAUCUUCGGACCUCACGCUAUCAGAUGAGCCUAGGUCGGAUUAGCUAGUUGGUGGGGUAAAGGCCUACCAAGGCGACGAUCCGUAACUGGUCUGAGAGGAUGAUCAGUCACACUGGAACUGAGACACGGUCCAGACCCCUACGGGAGGCAGCAGUGGGGAAUAUUGGACAAUGGGCGAAAGCCUGAUCCAGCCAUGCCGCGUGUGUGAAGAAGGUCUUCGGAUUGUAAAGCACUUUAAGUUGGGAGGAAGGGCAGUAAGUUAAUACCUUGCUGUUUUGACGUUACCAACAGAAUAAGCACCGGCUAACUUCGUG
rnacentral:rRNA from 1 species